ACUGCGGGUAAUACCCAGCGACGUUAUCGGGGGGCAUUCCCCGGUAACCAUAGGUGCGAUUCCGGCACGGGACGGGCCGUCGUGGUAUCAGCUAGAUGGCGGGGUAACGGCCCACCAUGGCGUUGACGCCUACCGGGCGUGCGAGCGUGGCCCGGCACACUGGGACUGAGACACUGCCCAGACUCCUACGGGAGGCUGCAGUCGAGAAUCUUCGGCAAUGGGCGCAAGCCUGACCGAGCGACGCCGCGUGGAGGACGAAGGCCUUCGGGUUGUCAAACUCCUGUCGAGGGGGAACAAGACGCCGUGAAGAACGGCGUUUGAGUGAUCCCUGGAGGAAGCACGGGCUAAGUUCGUGCCAGCAGCCGCGGUAAGACGAACCGUGCGAACGUUAUUCGGAAUCACUGGGCUUAAAGCGCGUGUAGGCGGCCCGGCACGUCCGACGCUGAAAUCCCCCGGCCAACCGGGGAAGGGGCGCGGAUACGACCG
rnacentral:rRNA from 1 species